rnacentral:rRNA from 1 species
AUUGAACGCUGGCGGCAGGCCUAACACAUGCCAGUCGAGCGGAUGAAGGGAGCUUGCUCCUGGAUUCAGCGGCGGACGGGUGAGUAAUGCCUAGAAAUCUGCCUGGUAGUGGGGGAUAACGUCCGGAAACGGGCGCUAAUACCGCAUACGUCCUGAGGGAGAAAGUGGGGGAUCUUCGGACCUCACGCUAUCAGAUGAGCCUAGGUCGGAUUAGCUAGUUGGUGGGGUAAAGGCCUACCAAGGCGACGAUCCGUAACUGGUCUGAGAGGAUGAUCAGUCACACUGGAACUGAGACACGGUCCAGACUCCUACGGGAGGCAGCAGUGGGGAAUAUUGGACAAUGGGCGAAAGCCUGAUCCAGCCAUGCCGCGUGUGUGAAGAAGGUCUUCGGAUUGUAAAGCACUUUAAGUUGGGAGGAAGGGCAGUAAGUUAAUACCUUGCUGUUUUGACGUUACCAACAGAAUAAGCACCGGCUAACUUCGUG